UAAGCACAAGUGGAGUAAGCUCACAUUGCUCACCGAGAGCUGGCUGACCUCAGGUGGAGAUCACGGACAAAGGGCCUUAAAUGCAGAACGAGAAUGUGAUAGCAAGAAGCCACUCCUUAGCAGACUCCUGGCAUCGAGCCAUGAAUCCAGGCCCACAUAUUCUGCCCACUGGCUACUGGGUUAUUCCGUAAAGCUGGAGAUGUAGUGUGGCUACUGGAGCUCCUUCACAGAGAGAAGCUGGACAUUUAAAUGGAGACCAAGAGUCAACACUCAACAAUGGAGGGUCACCCAACAAUGGAGAGGAAGCAGAUGUUGGAGGAAACACAGGGAGUCCAGCACAAAGAUACCUAUGCUUGACCAGCUUUUAGUUCACAGCAUCUGGAAUUGAAAGCUUAACUCAUUUACCUUCUUUCUUGCCCAAGAUGAAUGCCUAUCCAGAAAUACUGGAGUUUCAGGGGCCAUCUGUCUAAAAUGCAGUAAGAAUUUAUCAAAGUCUCCACCCACCUCAUGACGAGGGCUGGAGGACAGCAGUGGACAAGGGUGAGAAAUCACAAGACCUGAGUUCUAGCCCCACCACCUACUGGUUCUUGCACCUCAUGUAAUUUCUCCUGCCAGAGUCUCCAGUUCCUUAGCUAUGAACCGGAACACCUAUAAUACACCAACUCACCUCACAAGCUUGUGGGAUCAAAUGAAGCAGAGCCUGUUGCAAACUGUAAAGUUCUAUGUGAUUGUUUUUACUAUCCCAACCACAAUCUAUGGCCAGGCAGCUCUUCAUAUAGGAGACAGAUUUCUUCCCCUUGGCAAUAAUUGUAAGUAAUAUAUUCCAGGAUGUUUUGCAUUUUCCUGUGCUUAAAAUAAAACUGAACCCAAACAAGAA